AGAGACUGUGUCACUGAAGCUGAUAGGAGGAAUGCUGUAGCUUCACACACUUACCUUCACACAAUGUGUAAUUAACUUAGGGAAUUUUUUUACCGCAGGAUGUCAGUACUUUAUAUUUACAAGGGGAUCUGAGAGAUGAAUGGGAGAUACGGUUUGUCAGUAUUAAAGGGACAGCUAAAUAGAAACUUAACCCCAAAAGUUAGGACCAAGAUUCAAAUCCUGACUGGGUAACUUUGCUCACUAGUAACAUUGAACCAUGAGGACGAGAUGGUUGGACAGUGUUCUCGAAGCUACCAGCAUGAGUUUGGCCAAACUGGGGGAAGCAGUGGAAGACAGGAGUGCCUGGGACAGGUGAGGCUGCUGAUCCCUUAUUUUGGCUGCUGAUCCCUUAUUUUGGCUGCUGAUCCCUUAUUUUCGAGGCUGCUGAUCCCUUAUUUUCAAAUCUGAAAGUUGACAGCUAUGCUGGGAAUAUGUCAUAUUGAUUCGUUUCAAUGGGCCUACUCUCAGUAGGUCUAAUGUUGGAUACAACACAUUGCUUUUUUGUUGUUGCUUGCAUAAUUGUGUUUCUGUUUAUCAGAAGAGGCCAGGACUGGUGCAAAACUGCCUCUCCACCUAUAACCUCAAAAAAAUCUUGUCCCUUGUCCCCCUGCCCUCCAAGAUUUCAAGCAUUGCUUAAAUGAGAACAUUUUUGAAUUUGUUGUAUUCUGAAUGCCCAUCACUGCUGCACUCUCAUAGUUGCUGUUUGUAGCAGAAUCUUAGAGCUUCAGCUGUAUUUUGGAAUUUUGGGGUCCCCUGCUGCAACAAAAAUCAGAUUUAAGCUGGUUAACACCUUUUUCCAAUGGACAAAUGUAUAGAAAUGUGAUGUAGCAACUUUUAGGGAGAGCACCAAGUGUAAAGUAAGGGCGCCAUCUGCUGGUUUGAGUUUUGCUCAUCCAUAUUUUGUUCAUAAUAACGUAGCAUUAAAUUCCCUUGUGUGCAGUGCAUGGCUCAUAACUGUAUAUGGUGUGUGCAUAUGUAAGUUUCUAUAGUCCUCCAUUCCUUCCUAUGAGGGUUGCUGAAGGUUGAGGGCUUGUGCAAGUUAGGCUAGGAAUGGAAGAGAGUGUCUUGUAAUACUUCUCUUGGAGAUGCCACAGGUCCCAUAGCACGGUUGUGCAAUUGCAACCACACAGUAAAACUUUCAGGUUCCACUUGCUGUUGCAAGAAUUGUUGUUUACCCAUGCUUUAGGUUUACCAAAUGGUUUAGGUUUUAGCUGUUUGACUGUUAAUAAACAUCAGUUCCCCCAAAGUGGAAGCAUUUUGCUGCUAGGAUUAUUUUAUCAGGUCUGGGAAAUGUGGUGCCAGUUUCACAACCACAGCAUGCGCAGCUGCACAGCACUGAAGCUAUUAUCAAAGUGUUAAAUGAUUGGUCUGAUUGUUCUAUCCAGAAUAUGACAGUAUUUUGAAACAGCACUCUUGAAAUACCCUUAAAGAAUAGGGCAGAAACUUGCUCUCUGCUUCCCUAGAGGGCAAGACUAGAUUUAAGUCACAGAAAGGUAGAUUUUGGUUGAAUCCAGAUUAAGGGGAAAAGGACCCAGACCCUAAAAGAGCAAAUUUUAAAAAUGCAGUGGGUUGCUUCCAAAUAAGUUUUACUCAGAGUAAGUAAUUACAGUUAAUGGGCCUUAGUAAUGUCUUAUUAUUUUCAGUGGGACUGUUCCAGGCUGGGUGAUCACUAGACGUUCAAAGCGCCUAUGAAGUUCAAAGAAUCACAGGCACUGCUGUUCACCACUCACAGAGUUACAAAUCACAGCAGCAGUGCAUACAUUUAAAGCAUGUUGCUUUCUCAAAAGAAUCCUGGGAACUAGUUUGUUAAGGAUGCUGGGACUUGUACCUGUGUGAGGGGUAAACUACAGUGCCCAAGAUUCUUUGAGGGGGAAACCGUGUGCUUUGAGUGUAUGAUGUAGGUGCAACUGAACAUUGGAUAUACAAUCCAAUAUCCUCCACUGUGCCAUCUUUUCAGGCAUAAGUCCCACUGACUUGCUUCCAGGGUAGUGAAUAUAGUGAGACUGGGGUACGUGUGGAUCUUCAAAUGUUGUUGGGCUGCAACUCCACAAAUACCUGCCAAUUGGCUGUGCUGCUGUGGCUGAUGGGAAUUGGAAUUCUAACCAUGUUUGUUCCCCAUCUCCCAAACGCAGGACUGUACCCAAAAGCACUGAGUGAUGAUAAUGGGAGUGAGGAUAGAGUCACUUGAGGGGUUACCCCAUGGAAGGUGUAUCUAGCCCAAGGACCUCCAAAACCUGGAAUUGACCCUGGUACAUAGCCACAAAGUUUACUGGAUGGGUUCAGGCGAAUGACUAUAUUUCAGGAACCAGCUUAAUAAGUACCAUGGCCUGUUAAAAAUGCACCACUUUCCUUCCCACAUGUCUGCACCAGAAUAAGGUCACUGUGGACACAUUAUGCUCAAGAACUUUGUUGUCAUAUAUACUGGGCAAGGUUCAUGUGAACAAGCCGGAGCCAUUGCCUGUUUAUUUGUUCUGGAGCAAAGUUCGCGUGAGCAGAGCUUUCCUCAUGGAACAGUGACUCCCUUGGUCCAUUUAAAUCAGGCAUCUCCAAAAUCUGUUUCGGGGGCUUAAUCUAGCCCCUGUGGCAGGCUAUCUCCUGUGGUAAAAUCCUAAAAAAAGCUCACAACUUCAAUCCUAAAAAAAGGUCAACAGCUUUGGUCGGCCCUUCAUCAAAUCCGGCCCUCUUUGAAAAAAGUUUGGGCAUCCCUGAUUUAAAUGUAUAGAAAUAGGAUUUCAGCUCUCUUGUGUACAAUCCAUGGGUCUUUCAGGGCAGAACUUUGUGGCCAACGUCUGCAGCUCCAUUAAGCAGAAUGGACAGGAGCCCCACUACUACACAGCUGGUGGCGCUGUGGUCUAAACCACCGAGCCUCUAGGGCUUGCUAAUUGGGAGGUUGGCAGUUUGAAUCCGCACGAAGUGGUGAGCUCCCUUUUCUUUGUCCCAGCUCCUGCCAAUCUAGCCAUUUUAAAGCAUACCUACUCAAGUAGAUAAAUAGGUACUGCUGUGAUGGAAAGGUAAACGGCGUUUCCGCGUGCUCUGGCACUCAUCAUGGUGUCCCGUUGCACCAGAAGCAUUAUAGUCAUGCUAGCCACAUGACCCAGAAAAGUUGUCUGUGAACAAAUGCCGGCUCCCUUGGCCUGAAAGCGAGAUGAGCGCCGUAACUCCACAGUCGCCUUUGACUGGACUUAACUGUCCAGGGGUCCUUUACCUUUACCAUAACAUUGUGAAGUAAAUAAAAUAACGCACCUCUUAUCAUCUAAGCCUACCUCCACCCCCAUUAAGUGAGAGUCUAUGGCUGUGUACACACUCUACCUUUAAACCACAUUCAAAGCACAUUCUUUGAAGGAAACAACUUGUUUUGGAUGUGAUUUGGGUAUACAACCCAAAAUUACUGACUUGCACCACUAUGUACAAAAAUGUACUGUGCUGUUUACCAAUCAGUCACAGAUCAGUAACCAUUCCAGGGCCAUGUUAAUUUGCUGUAGCAGAAACAAGAACAUGUCUUGUGGCACCUUAGCGACUAAGGCUAGGUACAUGCUAUGCCUUUAAGCCAUAUUUGAAACAUGUUUCCUGAAACGGUAAAAUCGGCUAUGAUUAAAUGGGCACAGGAUGUAGGACAUAACAUUAUGUUUGCUGACUGGGAACAGUUAUGGACCACAGGUAUGAAAUUUACGGCAUGUAAUGCCUUAAGAGAGAAUAUUAUGAAAAUGAUAUACAGGUGGUACAUAACCCCAGUCAAGCUUGCGAAAAUCUAUCACUUGCCCGAUAAUAAAUGUUGGAAAUGUAAAGAAACUGAAGGUACAUUUUUUCACCUUUGGUGGACGUGCCCAAAGAUUAAGGCUUUCUGGGAAAUGAUAUAUAAUGAAUUAAAAAAGGUAUUUAAGUAUACCUUCCAUAAGAAACCAGAGGCCUUUCUCCUGGGCAUAGUCGGCCAAAUGGUGUUAAAAAAAGGAUAGAACUUUCUUUAUGUAUGCAACAACAGCAGCAAGAAUACUCAUCGCAAAGUAUUGGAAGACACAAGAACUUCCCACGCUGGAGGAAUGGCAGAUGAAACUUAUGGACUAUAUGGAAUUGGCGGAAAUGACUGGUAGAAUCCGUGACCAGGGAGAAGAGUCGAUGGAGGAAGACUGGAAGAAAUUCAAAGACUAUCUUCAGAAACACUGCAAAAUUAAGGAAUGUUAGAGUGAUGUUGGACUGAAAACAAGUGGUUUCCAGCUGUACAGGUUAAAGUUAAGGAUAGAUUAAGAUUAAAGAUCAAGAUUAAAGAUGUUUAAAGAAAUGGAAAUUUGAUAAUAAAAGGGAAAAAUUUAAAGUUGUAUGACAUUAAGAUUAAGGAUUAGGUUUAAAAAAGUUGAAGUUAUAUAUCUUAACGUGUUAUUAAAUUAAAGAUUGGGAUUAAAAAAGUGGAAAAGAAACUGCUGGACAAACAAUGUAGAUUGGAAUACAAAAGAGGGAGGUAUGAGGAAGUCCAGAAAAUAAGUAAUUUAAAAUUGGAAAUGGAAAAGAGAGUUUGUUUUUAAUUGUUAUGUUUUGUGAUUUUAUUGUUAAGUUUUGUAUUGUUUUUUGUGUGUGUUGUUUUUCUUUUUUUGUUUGUUUAAAAUUUUAAUAAAAAAUAUAUAUAUAAAAAAAGAAACAUGUUUCCAUUGGUGCCUCCCUGACUCUGCUGUUAUUGCUUCUUACCAGGAUGAGGCAGUGAGAAAGAGCUUCCUGGGUGUACCAGUGGGGAAACCAGAUUAAUGGGGACCCUGCUGAUGCUUUUGUGUUGCUCUGAGCUCCCUGCCUCCAGUGUGUUUGGAUAAGCAGUGGUGACAUGGUUAUAAGGAGUGCUGGUCUGUGGCUCCACCUCAAAACAUGCCCUGCUACUCCAACAGCAAUAAACCGGUGAUAACUCAGUCAUCUUAUAAUUGAACAUCUUAAUAAGCUGCAAUUCAGCAGUGUCAUGCUGGAGUUUCCCUUCAAAAUCC